UCCAAGUUGCCAUUUGGAAUUUUCUUGCCACAUGAUUCAUUGCUGUGAUCUUCACGUCCAAAUUGCCUCGCACGAUUUAUUGUUGUGAUCUUCACGAUUUAUUGCAAGAUUUCUUGCCACUUUUUGCUUGUUCAGAUCCAAAUUUUAGCUGGGUUGUUGGAUUUAAGGAGUUUGCACACCUAUAGUGGGGAUUUUCUCUGCAGUUGCUAUAGUGGGACCAACCUUUUUCCUUGCAAUUGCCAUGUUUGCUUUUGUGUUUCAAAUUAGUUCUUUGAUCACAGAGAAAGAGCUUAAGCUUCGCUCUUAAAAUCUUUGUACCAGUGACAGUCCUGGCACUUCUUAUCCUCAUUCCAGUCAAUGUAUCAAGUGGGACACUAUUUUUCCUCAGAAGAGAACUGGUUGUGAGUGAUAUUGAUAAGCUUUCAAUAUCAAAUGUUUGCCCUAAAUCUAUAAGGUAAUUUUGUGUACUAUGUAUAUAAUUCAAAAAAAAUACUUAAAAAAUAUUGAUAUGCUAGUGAGAGCUGAACUAAUGAUUUUCUGUUGAGUUUCUCAAAUCACUACUGAAGACAGAAGUAGAACUACACAAAUGCAUGUUCUACUAAUUUUACAAUGUAACUGUGUUAUACCCAUUAGGUCCCCCAUUAGGCGGGUGAUCUAUGGUAGAAGGGAAUGAGCAUGAUAAAGGUGUGCUCAGUGCCAAAUCCCACCAUUGUUUCUUACUAGUUGGAACUGGAUUUCACAUGAUUCCUAAGAGCUCUAACUAAAUGUAUAAUUCUAGAUAUAGCUUGAACUUUCUUUGGAUUGUUACACAUGAUGUGUAUAUGAGAUGAGAUAACUUUCAUAGUUAAAUUUGAAGUUACCUUACUAAGAACUAGUAUGUCAAAGGCAUGGUUAUCUUAAAUAAUUUGCUCUAAAUGUGUAUGAAAAAGUGAGUUGAAUGUGGAUAUUAACUUUGUAUGAUUCUCGUACUGACAUUAUUGCAAUCUCACAUAUUCUGGAUGAUUUUAGGAUAGUUUCUUCGCUAGCUUUGCUCUUGGUUGGGUAAUCACGAAUGGUGCUGGCCUUGCAUCCUAUCCAAUUGACACUGUCUGUAGAAGAAUGAUGAUGACAUCUGGUGAAGCUGUCAAGUAUAAAAGUUCCUUUGAUGCAAACUCUCAAAUCCUCAAGAAUGAGGGCCCCAAAUCUCUCUUUAAGGAAGCUGGUGCAAAUAUACUCCAUGCUGGUCCCAUUGUCCUUGGUUGUCAAAGCGGUCUCAAUUUCACUUUGUUGGUUUUUGAUUCAUACGCAAUUAUAAUUUGCUCUCUUUCGAAUUAUUACCAAUUUCAAAUUUGGGAAAAGCUUUUACUGAA